rnacentral:rRNA from 1 species
GACGAACGCUGGCGGCGUGCCUAAUACAUGCAAGUCGAACGCUUUUUCUUUCACCGGAGCUUGCUCCACCGAAAGAAAAAGAGUGGCGAACGGGUGAGUAACACGUGGGUAACCUGCCCAUCAGAAGGGGAUAACACUUGGAAACAGGAGCUAAUACCGUAUAACACUAUUUUCCGCAUGGAAGAAAGUUGAAAGGAGUUUUGGCGGCAAUGAUGGAUGGACCCGCGGUGCAUUAGCUAGUUGGUGAGGUAACGGCUCACCAAGGCAACGAUGCAUAGCCGACCUGAGAGGGUGAUCGGCCACACUGGGACUGAGGCACGGCCCAGACUCCUACGGGAGGCAGCAGUAGGGAAUCUUCGGCAAUGGACGAAAGUCUGACCGAGCAACGCCGCGUGAGUGAAGAAGGUUUUCGGAUCGUAAAACUCUGUUGUUAGAGAAGAACAAGGAUGAGAGUAGAACGUUCAUCCCUUGACGGUAUCUAACCAGAAAGCCACGGCUAACUACGUGCCAGCCGCCGCGGUAA